rnacentral:rRNA from 1 species
UACGUAGGGUGCGAGCGUUAAUCGGAAUUACUGGGCGUAAAGCGUGCGCAGGCGGUUGUGCAAGACAGAUGUGAAAUCCCCGGGCUCAACCUGGGAACUGCAUUUGUGACUGCACGGCUGGAGUGCGGCAGAGGGGGAUGGAAUUCCGCGUGUAGCAGUGAAAUGCGUAGAUAUGCGGAGGAACACCGAUGGCGAAGGCAAUCCCCCUGGGCCUGCACUGACGCUCAUGCACGAAAGCGUGGGGAGCAAACAGG